rnacentral:rRNA from 1 species
GACGAACGCUGGCGGCGUGCUUAACACAUGCAAGUCGAACGGGAUGAUUUAGAAGCUUGCUUUUAGAGAAUCUAGUGGCAAACGGGUGAGUAACACGUAGACAACCUGCCGACAGGAUGGGGACAACAUUCCGAAAGGAAUGCUAAUACCGAAUGAAGUCAGAGAAGGGCAUCCCUUUCUGAUGAAAGAUGGCCUCUGAAUAUGCUAUCACCUGUCGAUGGGUCUGCGUCUGAUUAGCUGGUUGGUGAGGUAACGGCUCACCAAGGCGACGAUCAGUAGCCGGUCUGAGAGGACGAACGGCCACAUUGGGACUGAGACACGGCCCAGACUCCUACGGGAGGCAGCAGUGGGGAAUCUUCCGCAAUGGGCGCAAGCCUGACGGAGCAACGCCGCGUGAGUGAAGAAGGUCUUCGGAUCGUAAAGCUCUGUUGAUGGGGACGAACGUGCGAAGGGUGAAUAAUCCUUUGCAAUGACG